rnacentral:lncRNA from 1 species
GCUGCACCGCUACUCUACACCUAUCUCCUUCCUUCUUUAUACUUCUAGCCUUGCAAGCUACUCCAUCAAUUCUGGUAGCCACAUUUCAGAAAGAAUACACUUGUUAUCCAUUCCCUUUUUCUCCUUUCCCAAUACACCGCCAUAUACAAGUCUCUUUUUCUCGACCGUUGCAUUCUCUUAUCUCUUGCCGCUUACCCCUUUUAGCCACAUGCACUGCCGGAUGAUCUACCUAAUCGAGAGUUAGUUGAAGGUAAGUUUUGAUUUCAUAGUGACUAAAUUGAAGCUUGUCUACAAACGUUUGUUAUUUCUUUGGAUUUUCUUCUUUAUUACGGAUCAAAACUCAGAUUCUCCCGCAAUUUCAGGAAAAUCUUUGAUUUUGGAGAUGAACGACAUGGAGGGUUUGGUAUGUGUCAUCAACAAAAAUAGAGUCAUGGCUUAUCAAACGAGUGGUACCUUGCUCGGUUCAGGUUUCCUUUCUUUCUCCUUAACCUUAAUCAUUUUCAAAUUCUCAAAUCUUUAAUAGAUUUAUGAUUUAUCAAGCAUACUCAAACUCCUGAUUUUGACAUCUAAGAAGAUCUCUUUGAAUCCUCAUUUGAAACAUUUCAAAAUUUGAAAUCUUCAUUCUCGGUAAAAACCUAAACCUUUAAAUAGUAGUUAUUUAGCUUAUUUAUUCAUAACUACUGUUUCUUACUUGUCCCAGUAGUUAUUUAAGCAUGCAAAGUUUUUUUUUCAUGAUCAGUGACAAUCCUCCUACAAAUUUUUUGUUUGCAACUCAUAUCUUUUUCUAACACUAGGAGCAAAUCAAUCCCCAUUGAAGCAUCUGAGGCCCUUAGUUGUACUUGGUUCCCUUCUGAAGGUACUUCCACUUUCCUUUCUAUUAUUUUUCAUAUCAAGUAUGUUUUUUCUUUAUCUAUUUCUUACCUGAAGGUAAGAGUUCUUGAAUGUAAUGAUAUUAAUUUUACAAUUUUAUUGAGAAUCCUUUUACACAACUAUGGUUAUUCGGUUCUUUUAUCUAAUUUUUUGGUUUCCCAGUCAUUCAUCAUAACCUUUAAUGGAUUUGAAAUUGAAUGCUAAUAAAUUUGGUGAUAUUUAUGAUUUUAACCUUAAAAUUAUUUUAUCAUAAAGGUAAAGCUAAUAAAAUGUGGAAGAAGAUGAACAUCUCUAUAGUUGAUAUGCCUGGGCUCCAAGCAUCAACUAUAGUGUUAAAGAAACAUUCGUUCUUAUUGAGCUAGCCUUCCACUGGUACUGUAAUAGCAUAACUUUAUGAUGCACAUAAACUGUUUGAUUGAAUUCUUGAGAAAUUUCUUUAAAUAAUAUGUAUGCCCCUGAAUGAAACUUUAUACACCAAAGAGGAGGUACGACUCCAUCCAUAUAUCAUUCUCUUUUUAUAUAAUCAACUAGUUUAUAACCUGUGGGAACCACGGUUAUACAAUUAAUUAAACUUUUAAAAUAAAACUAAAAAUUAUUAAUCAAUUAUUUUAAAUAAAUUAUUAAUGAAGAGAUUUUUUAGUUAUAUAAAUUUUAAUCAUUGAUUUAAAUAAAGAUGUGAAAUUAUAUCACUUUAUAAUGUGUAUUAAGUUUAUUUUAAUUUUUAUUCUAAUGUUAUUAAUUUAAUAUAAUUAAAGUGAGAAAUUUAAAUUUUGAAAUUUGAAAUGGAGAAUUAAUAGGUUUUCAAAUGUCAUGUAUUAAUUAGGAGAUAUAAUAUGAUGACGCAUGGCAAAAUGAGAAUAAAAUAUGCAUUAAUUAGGAGGCUUAAUAAGAUGACACAUGUCAAAAGGAGAAUAAAACUAUUUUUUUAUUAGAUAUGGAGAUGAGUGCUUCUAGGUAUUAAUUGCAUCAUGUGAUAAAACUCUUAAAAGAUAUGAUUAUUGAAGUUUUGCUUAAUGUUGUGUAAUUGCUUUCAUAAUUUAUGAUUUUUUUUUAUUAUAAGGUUUGGGGAGGAUUCCUGGAGGUGUAAUCUAUAAAGAGGGAAGCUUUAUAGAAUCAUGUAUGCCUUGUUACUUUUACUUAUUAUGUGCCUCAUUUGAAACAUUUUUUUUAAUUAAUUAGAUUUGAAUUUCAAGUGUUACACUUAUUGUUUAGUAGUUCAAAUUCAAAAGUUAUCUUGUGAUGCCGAUUGAUGAGGAUGUUCCAGAAGGCAGACUAAGCGGUUCAUUAAAUCAAUCAUGAGAACAAAAUAAAUUUUAUUCUAUAUGCAUUUGUAUAGCCAUUCAAAUUCAAAAGUUUUCUCUGGAUCAUAAGUUCUGU